rnacentral:rRNA from 1 species
AUCAAUAAGCGGAGGAAAAGAAACCAACAGGGAUUGCCCUAGUAACGGCGAGUGAAGCGGCAACAGCUCAAAUUUGAAAUCUGGCUCCUUUGGGGUCCGAGUUGUAAUUUGUAGAGGGUGCUUUGGCGUUGGCUCCGGCCUAAGUUCCUUGGAACAGGACGUCACAGAGGGUGAGAAUCCCGUACGUGGCCGACCGUCUUCGCCGUGUAAAGCCCCUUCGACGAGUCGAGUUGUUUGGGAAUGCAGCUCUAAAUGGGAGGUAAAUUUCUUCUAAAGCUAAAUAUUGGCCAGAGACCGAUAGCGCACAAGUAGAGUGAUCGAAAGAUGAAAAGCACUUUGGAAAGAGAGUCAAAAAGCACGUGAAAUUGUUGAAAGGGAAGCGCUUGCAGCCAGACUUGCCUGUAGUUGCUCAUCCGGGCUCCUGCCCGGUGCACUCUUCUAUUGGCAGGCCAGCAUCAGUUUGGGCGGUCGGAUAAAGGCCUCGGGAAUGUAGCUCUCUUCGGGGAGUGUUAUAGCCCGGGGUGUCAUGCGACCAGCCUGGACUGAGGUCCGCGCAUCUGCUAGGAUGCUGGCGUAAUGGCUGUAAGCGGCCCGUCUUGAAACACGGACCAAGGAGUCUAACAUCUAUGCGAGUGUUUGGGUGUCAAGCCCGGGCGCGUAAUGAAAGUGAACGGAGGUGGGAACCCCCCGGGGUGCACCAUCGACCGAUCCUGAUGUCUUCGGAUGGAUUUGAGUAAGAGCAUAGCUGUUGGGACCCGAAAGAUGGUGAACUAUGCCUGAAUAGGGUGAAGCCAGAGGAAACUCUGGUGGAGGCUCGCAGCGGUUCUGACGUGCAAAUCGAUCGUCAAAUUUGGGCAUAGGGGCGAAAGACUAAUCGAACUAUCUAGUAGCUGGUUCCUGC